ACACAACCAAGGGAGAAAACUAUUCUGUCAAAGAGACGGUGCCAAAAGGCAGAAACAAAGGAGAAUGUGGAAGAUGGCCGAGCAAGUAUCUAUCAAUCUGUCAUUACCAACACCAGCAAAGAAAUGUCCUGUUUCAGUGACUUUCCAAUGCCUGAAGAUUUUCCAAACUUCCUGCAUAAUUCUAAACUUCUGGAAUAUUUCAGGAUUUUUGCUAAAAAAUUUGAUCUGUUAAAAUAUAUUCAGUUCCAGGUAUCGAGAGGUUCAAAGGCCAAUAUUUCCAUAGCCGCCAAUACAAGCAUCCAGAUGGAUUUGAGGGAAAACGCAUCCUGGUGAUUGGAAUGGGAAACUCAGGCUCAGAUAUUGCUGUUGAGCUGAGUAAGAAUGCUGCUCAGGUUUUUAUCAGCACCAGGCAUGGCACCUGGGUCAUGAGCCGUAUCUCUGAAGAUGGCUAUCCUUGGGACUCAGUGUUCCACACCCGGUUUCGUUCUAUGCUCCGCAAUGUACUGCCACGAACAGC
rnacentral:sRNA from 1 species